ensembl:lncRNA
GUGUAAUGAUGGGGACCAGGUGUGUGUAAUGAUGAGAACCAGGUGUGUGUGAUGAUUUGGGACCAGGUGUGUGUAAUGAUGAGGACUAGGUGUGUGUAAUGAUGAGGACCAGGUGUGUGUAAUGAUGAGCUCCAGGUGUGUGUAAUGAUGAGAACCAGGUGUGUGUAAUGAUGAGGACCAGGUGUGUGUAAUGAUGAGGACCAGGUGUGUGUAAUGAUGGGGACCAGGUGUGUGUAAUGAUGGGGACCAGGUGUGUUAUGAUGAGGACCAGGUGUGUGUAAUGAUGAGAACCAGGUGUGUGUGAUGAUUUGGGACCAGGUGUGUGUAAUGAUGAGGACUAGGUGUGUGUAAUGAUGAGGACCAGGUGUGUGUAAUGAUGAGGACCAGGUGUGUGUAAUGAAGGUUACCAGGACUGGUUGUUAGUAGACUGGUGACAUUGAGAGCUGGAGAGGGGGAGAGGGAGUUAGCAUAACAGUACCCGCUCCCGAAGCGGCUCCAGCAGCAGGGCGACGCCGGCCAGGAGUACGGCCCCGAGGGCGAGGAACGGGCCGGUCCGGACAUGGAAAUGCCUGACAAUGUUGGGGUCCAGGAUGUUGGCCAGCGUGACCCAACAGCACUCCUACGGACCUUACCCCUCCCAUUCCACCAAGUACUGAAGCCGUUCCCCACAACGCCGAGAGUCCAG